AUACCUUCUCGGCCUUUUGGCUAAGAUCAAGUGUAGUAUCUGUUCUUAUCAGUGUGAAAACUGGUAUCUUCCCUACUGGGAAGCUAUUUUCACAUUAAUUUCUUCAGGGUCGCUCAGCAGGAGGGUGUUUACAUCAUCCGCUAAGCAAUUUGUUGUCGAAGCAUCGCACCACCGCUUUGUUCAGCAAGCCCUAU
rnacentral:snRNA from 1 species